GACGAACCGUGCGAACGUUAUUCGGAAUCACUGGGCUUAAAGCGCGUGUAGGCGGGACGGCACGUCGGCCGCUGAAAUCCCCCGGCUCAACCGGGGAACGGGCGCCGAUACGACCGCCCUGGAGGGACGUAGGGGGACCUGGAACUUCCGGUGGAGCGGUGAAAUGCGUUGAGAUCGGAAGGAACGCCCGCGGCGAAAGCGAGGUCCUGGACGUCUUCUGACGCUGAGACGCGAAAGCCAGGGGAGCGAACGGG
rnacentral:rRNA from 1 species